GUCGAGGAUCUUCGGCAAUGGGCGCAAGCCUGACCGAGCGACGCCGCGUGUGCGAUGAAGGCCUUCGGGUUGUAAAGCACUGUCGAGGGGGAGGAAAGCCGCAAGGCUUGACCUAUCCCUGGAGGAAGCACGGGCUAAGUUCGUGCCAGCAGCCGCGGUAAGACGAACCGUGCGAACGUUGUUCGGAAUCACUGGGCUUAAAGGGCGCGUAGGCGGUUGAUCAAGUCUGGGGUGAAAUCUUUCGGCUUAACCGGAAAAGUGCCUUGGAUACUGGUCAGCUGGAGGGAGGUAGGGGCAGUUGGAACUUCCAGUGGAGCGGUGAAAUGCGUUGAUAUUGGAAGGAACGCCGGUGGCGAAAGCGAGCUGCUGGACCUCUUCUGACGCUGAUGCGCGAAAGCUAGGGGAGCAAACGGGAUUAGAAACCCGGGUAGUCC
rnacentral:rRNA from 1 species